rnacentral:rRNA from 1 species
UGGGGAAUCUUGGACAAUGGGCGCAAGCCUGAUCCAGCCAUGCCGCGUGAGUGAAGAAGGCCUUCGGGUUGUAAAGCUCUUUUACCAGGGACGAUAAUGACGGUACCUGGAGAAUAAGCCCCGGCAAACUUCGUGCCAGCAGCCGCGGUAAUACGAAGGGGGCUAGCGUUGUUCGGAAUUACUGGGCGUAAAGCGCACGUAGGCGGAUUGUUAAGUCAGAGGUGAAAUCCCGGAGCUCAACUUCGGAACUGCCUUUGAUACUGGCAAUCUCGAGUCCGGAAGAGGUUAGUGGAAUUCCCAGUGUAGAGGUGAAAUUCGUAGAUAUUGGGAAGAACACCAGUGGCGAAGGCGGCUAACUGGUCCGGUACUGACGCUGAGGUGCGAAAGCGUGGGGAGCAAACAGGAUUAGAUACCCGGGUAGUCCCUGAGCGGGCUGGCAAGGCGCAU